rnacentral:rRNA from 1 species
UACAGAGGUCUCAAGCGUUGUUCGGAUUCAUUGGGCGUAAAGGGUGUGUAGGUGGCGCCGUAAGUCGGGUGUGAAAUUUCGGAGCUUAACCCCGAAACUGCAUUCGAUACUGCGGUGCUAGAGGACUGGAGAGGAGACUGGAAUUCACGGUGUAGCAGUGAAAUGCGUAGAUAUCGUGAGGAAGGCCAGUGGCGAAGGCGGGUCUCUGGACAGUUCCUGACACUGAGGCACGAAGGCCAGGGGAGCAAACGGG